UACAAGUUAACCACUCACUCAAGGGCGGUCUGGCUCAUACCCCGAAAGGGGGUGAGGCUUAUGACAACAUUUGAAAGUUUAUCUCUAAUGAUAGCUUUUGGCGUUUUUAUCAUCGCCCUGUUGUCCUAUAUAGACAAAAAAUAGACCCCCUUGAGCCUUGGACAGUUUAAGGGAGUCUAUUUUCGCAAGAAAGUAUUCUUUUGAGUCAGCGCCAUUGAUUGAUGGUCGCGCUUGUACAACGCCAGGGUGCUGUAACACCCUGG
rnacentral:sRNA from 1 species